rnacentral:rRNA from 1 species
GAUGAACGCUAGCGGCAGGCCUAAUACAUGCAAGUCGAACGGGAUUGGGGAGCUUGCUCCCCAUGAGAGUGGCGCACGGGUGCGUAACGCGUGAGCAACCUGCCCGUCCCAGGGGGAUAGCCCGUUGAAAGACGGAUUAACACCGCACGACGUAGUUAACUGGCAUCAGUAUACUACCAAAUAUUUAUAGGGGACGGAUGGGCUCGCGUGACAUUAGCUAGUUGGAGAGGUAACGGCUCACCAAGGCGACGAUGUCUAGGGGCUCUGAGAGGAGAAUCCCCCACACUGGUACUGAGACACGGACCAGACUCCUACGGGAGGCAGCAGUAAGGAAUAUUGGUCAAUGGGCGGAAGCCUGAACCAGCCAUGCCGCGUGCAGGAAGACGGCCCUACGGGUUGUAAACUGCUUUUGUACGGGAAUAACCCCUAUUAUGUAUAAUAGGUUGAAUGUACUGUAAGAAUAAGGAUCGGCUAACUCCGUGCCAGCAGCCGCGGUAA